CCUUAAGACUUAUUUUAUUUCCUUUGUUUUUUUCUUUCAUAUAAAGGAUUAAAAUUUUAAAUUAAAAAAAAAUCUUUAUAAAAAUUAAAAUUAUGUUAUUUAUAAGUACUAUAAAGGAAAAAUGAAAUAAAAAAUAAAUUUAAAAACAAAAUAGGAGAAAAUCGUACCUUUAGUAUUAUGGUUUUACAAGAUUAUAAGAAAAAUUGUUCUAUACCCGAAAUUUAGGGAGCUACUCUAAUUUACUUUUAGAAAAAUAUAAAACUGUUGCAAGAGUUUUUAAAAAAUUUGAGUAGAAAUAAAAUGUUUAUCGUCCUAUAUUCUAUCUGGUUUCCAAAGAAAAUAAUUUUAGUUAUAAUUUUUAAUCUAAACACACAUAAUUUUUAAUAAAAUAUAUAAUUUUAGUAAUAAAAAUUAAGAGAGAAAAAGCUAAGUUUUUCUCUCUAAUUGGAAAAAACCUUAAAAUAAGAAAAGGACAAAAUAUUAACAAAAAUUAAUAAAAAAGUAGGCCUAAAAGCGGCCACCUUAAAAAAAGCGUUAUAGCUUAUUUAAUUUCAAAAUUUUUAAAUAACUGAAUUCCCACCUUAUCUAUAAAAAAUUAUUUGGAAAUAAUAAUGUAAAAAUUAGUAAAUUAUUAAUAAUUUUUUCUGAAAAGGAAAGCCAAACCAAUUUAACCAAGAAACAAAAAAUAUUCUUCACGAAAAAUUUUUUCUUUUAUGUCCUUUCCACACAGCUUAAUAUAUAUAAAGAAUAAAAAUAAAGAAAGGAACUCGGCAAAAAAGAAAAUGACUGUUUACCAAAAACAUAGCUUCUUGAUAAUUAUAAGAAGUUAAGCCUGCCCAGUGAUUUUUUAACGGCCGCGGUAUUUUGACCGUGCUAAGGUAGCAUAAUAAUUUGUUUUUUAAAUAAAAACUAGUAUGAAUGGCUCCACAUUUUCUAACUGUCUCUCUUUAUUUUCUUUUAAAUUUCUACUUCCGUGAAGAAGCGGAAAUAAAUGUGUAAGACGAGAAGACCCUGUCGAGCUUUAUCUAAAAUAAGAUAUUUACUAAUCUUAUUAAAGAUUUGGUUGGGGCAACCAUGGAGAAAAAAAAACCUCCAGAAAUUCAAGAUGAAUAAUAUUUCUCUUAAUAACAAUUUGAACCAAUUAUUUUGGUAAUCAGAAAUAGUUACCGCAGGGAUAACAGCGUAAUCUUCUUUAAGAGCCCAUAUUGACAAGAAGGUUUGCGACCUCGAUGUUGGAUUGGGGCCCCCAAAAAGUGCAGCCGCUUUUAAAGGUUGGAUUGUUCAUCCAUUAAAGCCCUACAUGAUCUGAGUUCAGACCGACGUAAGUCAGGUCAGCUUCUAUCUACAUCAAUAUUUUUUUUAGUACGAAAGGACCAAAAAAUUUUCUUCCAUAAAAUCUUUAAAAGAAAAAUACUAAACCAAAUAAUAAUUAUUUAUAAAAUAUAAACAAUGAAAUUUUCA
rnacentral:rRNA from 1 species